AAUACAUCUCACUGCAGAAAGGUCUGUUUCGCAGCAGAAGGGCUCCUUGGGAAGUGUUUACAUCUAAGCUUGUGGAACGUCCCACGCAGAACGGUUCAUCACAGGAGGAAAAGAAGAGUAAGCCAUUUGGGAAGAUGGUGCCUGGACACUUGAGCCUGCACACCAGGACUUCUAGUAAGGAGGAAGAGCAUCAUGCCACCCAUCCUCACUUUCUCAAGGCGACAAUGAACAGUCACAAAUGCUUCCUUGUCCAGCAGCCCACUGUGUGGUCCCGAGUGACCUGGUACUCUCUGGUUUCAUGCCCUCUCCCUAUACAUCCCCCAAACUCCGCCACUUACUUCCUCACUCCCUAUAGUCCAUGUGAUGUCCACUCGGUGCUACAAGUUGGCCUGAGGCCACCUCAUCUGGAGUGGCCUCACUCAGGAUUGCCCUGUGACUUAAAAAAAAAUUAACCUUUGAAUUUUGAGAUAACUGAACAUAGAGAGAUCCUAUGUGCCCUUGACCUAGCUCCCCUCUUGGUCACCUCUUGCAAAACGAGUACAACAUCACAUCCAGGAUGUUGAUACUGAAGUCCAGAUGCAGAAUGCCAUCCACACGAGGCUCCCUCCUGCCACUCUGCAAUAGCCCCACUCUCUUUUUUUCCACUCCAUCCCCUCCUUAACCCCUGACCAUCACAAAUCUGUCCCCAUUUGUGUUAUUUUGUCAUUUCAAGAAUAUCACAUGAAUGGAGUUGUAUGGUCUAACCUCUUCAGAUUGGCUUUUUCCAGGAGAAUUCUCUGGAGAUCCAUCCAGGUUGUUGGGUGUUGAAUAGUUCAUUACUUUGUAUUGCUGAGUAGUGUUCCAUAAUGUAGACCACAGUUUCACUAUUUCCCUGUUGACAGACAUCUGGGUUGUUUGUAGUUUCUGGCUAAUCACAGACAAAACUGCUGUAAACCUUUGUGUGUUAAUUUUUGUCUCAAUGUGAGUUUUAAUUUCUCUGGGACAAAUGUCCAGGAGUGCAAUUGUUGAAAGUUGAGGAAAUUGCCCUCUAUUUCUAUUUUUCUGACUUUUUUUACAACCAUGAAUAGGUGUUCACUUUUGUCAAGUGCUUUGUCCAUAUCAAUUGGCAUGAUUAUGUGAUUUUUCUUCUUCAGUCUGUUAAUAUGGUGUACUACACUGAUGUGCAAAUAUUGAACCAGACUUUCAUGCUUGGGAUAAACCCCACUUGGA